GGCGGUGGGUGGGCCGCUAUCUAUAUGCAAGUCGAGCGGACAGAAGGGAGCUUGCUCCCGGAUGUUAGCGGCGGACGGGUGAGUAACACGUGGGUAACCUGCCUGUAAGACUGGGAUAACUCCGGGAAACCGGAGCUAAUACCGGAUAGUUCCUUGAACCGCAUGGUUCAAGGAUGAAAGACGGUUUCGGCUGUCACUUACAGAUGGACCCGCGGCGCAUUAGCUAGUUGGUGAGGUAACGGCUCACCAAGGCGACGAUGCGUAGCCGACCUGAGAGGGUGAUCGGCCACACUGGGACUGAGACACGGCCCAGACUCCUACGGGAGGCAGCAGUAGGGAAUCUUCCGCAAUGGACGAAAGUCUGACGGAGCAACGCCGCGUGAGUGAUGAAGGUUUUCGGAUCGUAAAGCUCUGUUGUUAGGGAAGAACAAGUGCAAGAGUAACUGCUUGCACCUUGACGGUACCUAACCAGAAAGCCACGGCUAACUACGUGCCAGCAGCCGCGGUAAUACGUAGGUGGCAAGCGUUGUCCGGAAUUAUUGGGCGUAAAGGGCUCGCAGGCGGUUUCUUAAGUCUGAUGUGAAAGCCCCCGGCUCAACCGGGGAGGGUCAUUGGAAACUGGGAAACUUGAGUGCAGAAGAGGAGAGUGGAAUUCCACGUGUAGCGGUGAAAUGCGUAGAGAUGUGGAGGAACACCAGUGGCGAAGGCGACUCUCUGGUCUGUAACUGACGCUGAGGAGCGAAAGCGUGGGGAGCGAACAGGAUUAGAUACCCUGGUAGUCCACGCCGUAAACGAUGAGU
rnacentral:rRNA from 1 species